rnacentral:rRNA from 1 species
AGAUCGAACGCUGGCGGCAUGCCUUACACAUGCAAGUCGAACGGCAGCACGGGGGCAACCCUGGUGGCGAGUGGCGAACGGGUGAGUAAUGCAUCGGAACGUGCCCAGUAGUGGGGGAUAACUAGUCGAAAGAUUAGCUAAUACCGCAUACGACCUUUGGGUGAAAGCGGGGGAUUCGCAAGAACCUCGCGCUAUCGGAGCGGCCGAUGUCUGAUUAGCUAGUUGGCGGGGUAAAGGCCCACCAAGGCUUCGAUCAGUAGCUGGUCUGAGAGGACGACCAGCCACACUGGGACUGAGACACGGCCCAGACUCCUACGGGAGGCAGCAGUGGGGAAUUUUGGACAAUGGGCGCAAGCCUGAUCCAGCCAUGCCGCGUGCGGGAAGAAGGCCUCGGGUUGUAACG